AAGUCGUACGGAGAGUGGGGCAACUCACUCUUAGUGGCAAACGGGUGAGUAACGCGUGAAUAACCUGCCUUUGAGAAGGGGAUAACUGUCCGAAAGGAUAGCUAAUACCCUAUAUUGCCUUUUGUCACUAAGGCAAAAAGUGAAAGCGAGGCUGUCAAAGGCUUCGGCUCAAAGAGGGGUUCGCGUCCUAUCAGGUAGUUGGUGGGGUAAUGGCCUACCAAGCCAAUGACGGGUAGCUGGUCUUAGAGGAUGAUCAGCCACAGUGGGACUGAGACACGGCCCGCACCCCUACGGGGGGCAGCAGUGGGGAAUCGUGGGCAAUGGGCGCAAGCCUGACCCCGCAAUGCCGCGUGAGGGAAGAAGCCCUUCGGGGUGUAAACCUCUGUCAGAUGGGAAGAU
rnacentral:rRNA from 1 species